AUCCCAGGAGACCAGGUCAGCUUUGCCCGCCAUGGAGAAGGCUAGGUAAGGCCAGAAGGCUACCUCACCUCCUCGCAUAGGGAGCAGGGAGGGAACUUUUUUGAUUUAAAAUCUAUGGUAUUAAUAGUUUUAGGGAUCCUUGGAUCCCAGGAAGGUUUGUGGAUGUGGGGAAGUUUGGGGUUUUUGAGGAGAGCCUUGGGGUCAUAUUCCCUGAAGGAACUGUUGAGUGAGGGCCAGAAAAAGGAAAACCGAGGGUCAGAGGAUAGGGGAUGCAGCUCCCUUGCCUGUGGAAAGGGAUUUUUAAGCUGGAUUCAGCUCUCCUGUGCCAGAGACUAAGUUAGAGGCCAGCCUGGGAUACCUAACAAGACCCUGUCUCAAUAAAAUAAG
rnacentral:lncRNA from 1 species